rnacentral:ribozyme from 1 species
UACCCAUCAACUCCUAUCCCUACCUCCUCGUGGUACAGGCCGGAGUACGAGUAACCUUGGGGAAGAUCGGGUAAACAAACCCCGGUGGGAACUUUGGUCGUAUGCUGACAGGGAAGA